CUCUGCUCUUUUGUUCACCUGAAAUCCUCUCUUACACCUUAGUCACGUGAUUAGACCCAUCCUUCUUGUCGGAACUGUCAAACUGGUUAUGCCAUAAACAUAACCAACCACACAACCAGAUAAAGGGAGGUGGGGAGUGGUAGGCGGUGGUGCUGGAGAGUUGGACAAGACAUCCUCUUCAUUCUUUACACAGAUUUUGAGGUUUGAGGUCUUUUUUGUGUUCUUUAACAGUGCUUUCAAUUUGGAUUACGAAGCAUCUUUUGAACUAAGAAAACUAGAGGCAACCCAGGAAGAGGAAUACAAGACCAGGAAUGACAGUAAGCCUCAGAUAUACUGUAGAGAAAAGGAAGAGGAACAAAAUGAUGUACAAAGCAGUUCAUAGAUUUGCUUCAGGCUUCAUGCUGUAGGCUAUGGGAAGACUAUGAUAACCAACGAGUCAUUGAAACUCACUCAUACGACCACACGUUAUCAUUGACUCAGUGAAUAAGAAGCCAAGCUGACCCUGCAGAACCUGCAUCUGGAUCAGAUGCAGCGGACGCGCGUCAACCAACUCAAGGAGAGGCAGUGGCUGGAAAACCUGCUGAAGGGGCAGCUAGACUGGAAGAAGAAGAAUGUGGAGGAGAUGGAGGCAGAGGUGAACAAACUGACCGAAGAGGAGGGGAAGAAGAAGACUGAGGUCGAGGCCUGCCAGGCAGACAAGAAACAAAAGGAGGAAGAACUUGCACCCAUACAGAAGGAGCAGAGUGAUAUUGAAGCGACGUUCAAAACUGAAAAGGAGGCUUGGACUGGGGAGAUCACCACUCUCAAACUGCAGUUGGAGCAGAGUAGCAAAGUGUGUGGUUUUGUAAAGGACUCAACAGAUACAGCGAAAUUAUGUCCACCCAAAGAAGGAGCAGCAAAACCUGAAGCGGCCCCUGUACAAGCUGAAGCGGCCCCUGUAAAAGCUGAAGCGGCCCCUGUACAAGCUGAAGCGGCCCCUGUAAAAGCUGAAGCGGCCCCUGUACAAGCUGAAGCGGCCCCUGUAAAAGCUGAAGCGGCCCCUGUAAAAGCUGAAGCAGCCCCUGUAAAAGCUGAAGCAGCCCCUGUAAAAGCUGAAGAGGCCGCUGUACAAGGUGAACCUGCAUCUGUAAAAGCUGAAGCAGCCCCUGUAAAAGCCGAAGAGGUCCCUGCACAAGCUGAAGCGGCCCCUGCUCCAAAGCAGUAAACGUCUCCAAAGAUACGGUGACAUUAUGCAUCACAAUAGUAAUUAUAUUACUAUUCAUUCGUGAUGCUCACUCAUAUUUAUGUUGUUUGUUUGUGGGUAAUCUUGUGGGUAAUCUUGUGGGUAAUCUUGGCAACCCAAUGUAAAUUACACCAUUUAUGUUAUAUAGUCUGUCCACAAGAGAUUAGGCUGUGGGCAUUGUCAAUGUGUCAGUUUGGCACACUAUGUCAAUGUGCCUAAAGUAAUUAGGUGCUGUUCGUUUUCAAAAACGUUUAAUAUCUUAUCAGUUUUUAAAUAAACGUUUUUUGUUUUUAAUUUCCAUUUUUAUAAAGCCUUUUAGUUAGGCACAGAAAACACGGAAAGAGAAAACACUGCUUUUCCCUGUUGGUGGUUCAUGUGAUGAAGAGGGUGGAACUCCUAUCAAACCUGCACAGUUCAAUACCAAUAUAACUUAGACCAUUAAAGUUUUAAUGUAGCUUACCUUAUCAUCAUCAUCAUUGACUGCCAGGGUAAAACAUAAUAUUGUAAAGCUGUUGGGUGUAAUCUGCCAGGUUAAAAUGGAGCCAGCUGGUGGAUGAGUAAUAUGUAAACAUAGGGUGACAGUGAGCAGCGAGCAAAAUGACCAUAGACGAGAUGUUGACAAUGGCUUAUUAAUAGGCAUAAAUACAUAGUAUUUCUAUGAUUGCAGUCCUCAAAGAUUGAAUUGCAAUGAAUCAAAUGAAUCAGAUUCAAUGGUUUACCGCCCAUAGGGCGGGUGCAGUUUUUUUGUGCUUUGGAAUGUUCGGUAUUCCUGGGAUACCAUGCUGUCACCAUGUAAAUUAUAUAAAAACAUUUAUAAAACGGGUUGUUUGGAUCCUGGAUGCUGACUGGUUGAUAGAAGGGAGUUAUAGCACAACAAUCCCCGCAUUCACCGGGUAAUGCCUGUUAACAGUUCCAUUUGAUUUAUCAAUGCGCAUCCACUAUCCACUAGCCUGGCUGACGUGACUCACGGUACCACACAGCACGGUACCACACAGCAGACUCACUGGUCUGGAAAGGAGGCCGUUUAUUACAGUUUUUCUCCAUUGGUUUGGCUCAUUUCUUGAAACAGAAAUUACAUUCUCAAAACUCUAAGAUCAUUUGGCAAAACAGUCUUACAGUUCAGCACAACACUAUAGCUCACUUGCAAAAGCUCAUAUCUCUCCUAAAACUGUUCACUCAUGCUUCAAAACUAAAUUCCUUUCCCAUAUAAAGAGUCAGUGCCACGAAAAUGGCAAAGAUCCUUCUCAAUUGCUUUGGCUAAUUUCUUGAAACAGACCGGACGUUUUCAACACUCUUGGUGCUUUAACCAAAACUAAAUUUCCUUCUCAUUUAAACAGUCAGUGCCCCCAAAAUGCUUCGUCCCUUUGGCAUUGUGUAAGCACUGCAAGUCAAAAUGUUUAGAUGUUUUGUCACUAUGGCAGAGGACCAUUGAAAUAUCCCUCAUGUCCACCUUUCAGUCUUAGCCCAGUCCUUCAUUGACAAUGGUUACUGUACUGUUUUUUGUCCAGCUAACAGAAUACAAUUGUGUAUAAAACUGAAAAAAAGAAAUAGGAUUUUAGGGUAAGAGUAGCCUCCAAGGUUUGACAUCACACAUUGCACUCAUACUGCCAAGGAAAUUGUAACCAUUAUCAUUCACACACAUAAAGUAACUUCCAUACAUCAGAGUAAAAAGAAAAUGUAUACAGCAUAAUAUACUGUAAUAUAAACACACAAACAAAAAACAAUGAAAAUUAUAUGCAGCCUACAGUGCUGUAAAUAAAGCUGGAGUUUCACAACUAACAGUUCUUCACUGGUCGCUGUCCUCACCCUCCUGGCCAUCCACACGCUGCUGUCUGUCUGGCCACAGAUUCUCGUCCACAUCACAGCGUAUAUGCUCCCUUGCGAUGCAACGAGGGAAGAAACGGCGUGCAUGUCGCAACCAUCCCCUACACUGAUCUCCUGUAAUAUCCUCACACGCAGCGUCCAUUGCAUGGAGCAGGGACCUCUGAUCUUGAGCCCGAUGCUCAUACACUCUCCACCUCCAAGCAGAGAAAUACUCCUCAAUAGGAUUGAGGAAAGGAGAGUAAGGUGGUAGGAACACCAUGACCAUCCUUGGAUGAGUAGUGAACCAGGCCCUGAUGAGCGGGCCACGGUGGAAAUUCACAUUGUCCCAUACAAUGACAUAUUGUGGUAGGUGAGGCCUUACGAGACCUCUCUCAUUUUCAGGGAUCAAAUCAAAAUGAAGGCGGUCCAAGAAGAUGAGGAGCUUCUGUGUAUUGUAUGGGCCAAGACUGGUGAUGUGAGUGGCCACACCAUUCUCAGAUAUGGCAGCACACAUAGUUAUAUUGCCCCCUCGCUGGCCUGGGACAUCCACCGUGGCCCGGUGGCCAAUAAUAUUACGGCCACGUCUUCGGCCCUUGGCCAGGUUGAAGCCAGCUUCAUCCACAAACACGAGGAUGUGAUGGGUCUCGUGCUCCUCGGCCUCUUCCCCCUAUUCCACCACCACGCACCCUUACUCCUCCUCCUCCUCUUCUUCUUCUUCCUCUUCCUCUUCCUCGAGCAGGCAGUUGCCCUUGUUCAUUUACUUGGCCAGGUGCCUCCAUGUUCAGAAAUUGUACUGGUCCUGCAUGGUCAAGCUCUUUACAUACAUGUUUGGCAGCAUUCACAGUCAUGGACAGCACCUGUCAGGUAACUAAUCAUACUGUUUGAUUGGUCAUCUGAGAUGUGUGAAACUCCUCCUUCGUUAGUCAAGUUCUAGUUUCACCUGACUGUCAAUUGCUGUAAUAAAUGUAUCAAAUGUUCCAAGGGAUUCAUAUAUGGUAUUCAUGGUAUUAUGUUCUUGACUAAUUUUGACAAUUGAACAGACUAUUGUGCAUGUGAUGACUUAUACAAUGAAAUGACGCUGACACGUUUUGGAGAGAACAACCAUUAGACUGAGAAUCAGCAAUCAGUUUAGAUCGAUAAGAUCUAUUCACUUGGAAAUUGUGCUAAAUGUAGGCUACAUGUACUUAAUCAUUUGCAAAGAUGUACUGAGACAUUGAGACAUGUACUUAGACAUUUGCAAUUUGAUGAAAUGAAUGAGAAAUUCAAUUCUGUUGUGAACAAUUGCCAAGUGGUUUGGAGGUUUGUCCAUGUAGUUUUGAGAAUGUAAUUUCUGUUUCAAGAAAUGAGCCAAACCAAUGGAGAAAAACUGUAAUGCAAUAUUCACUCAGAAAUUGAGCAGACGGAUUGAUUGGUUGAGACCUCUCAUUGUUUGGAUUUGAAAAUCCAACAUUUGUAAUGGAAGGGGGCGGUGCUCAGGGGCUUUGUGUGGCUGUGCCUGUAGGUGUUUGAGUGAGACAACAUCAAAACAGCCUUUCCAGACUCUAAAGUCAGGAGGACUUCGAGUUUGGUAUCAGCCAGACUACUGUCCCACAACCCAGCCAGUCAAUUUAUAUUAUAGCCUUAACUUCAUCUCCCCUGUUAAAAAGUAUCUAAACCAUUUUCCCCCAUGCUAUUAGGUUAGCAUUUCGUUUACAACAGUUAGGGUUUGUCUAAACCUUGCUGUCUGCUUCUCUGACCUGUGGAAGUUUUUUUGCGAUCUCCUCCGUACCAUGCAUAUGAACGUGACGUGACUGACAGUUUCUCUGAGCCAGGCAAAUUAAUUUAUCAGGAUCAUUAUAAUGGAUAUAUCCAAAGAAAUGGCAAAAGAAACAAACAAAUGUAAAACAAAGGAAAGUACACAUAGUUGCUGUCAUUUCAGCUGCUUUCUUUAGUUUGCUAGAGGAAAGGAGAAGUACAGUAGCUAGCCUGGAGCUACAUGGCAAUGAUUUGUUUAGCAUAGCAAUCAUUGCAAAAAUAAUGGAUAGAAUGAACGACCAGCCUAUUUGGCUAGCAACUUAAGACCUCAUAAUUAUUUAAAAAAUGUUUGCAUUUUAUCGCACCUACAGUAUGGCUUUUAUGAUCACAGGACAUUCCCCACUAAAUACACCCACACUCCUAUUCAAAUAGUCAUCUCUACUACUCAGCUGUCGUUGUCUUUUACCUUUCCUGAGGAAAUGCAGUAGAUAUUUAAUGAAGUGGGAAUGAGAUAUUGGACUUUGAUUCAUCACUGCCAAUGAUGUGCUUGAUGUUGUAUUUCCAUCACAGUAACGAUGAUGCACUGGGGACUCUGAUCAUGAUGUGUAAUUAAUUAAUGUAAAGGUUUUUCAGUUUGCUUUACUUCUUCGUCCAUAAGCUUUUUGAGGCUUAUAGGACUUCAGCAAAAUGAAUACUUUUUUUAUUCUUACUUUUUCAAGAAUUGUCUGUUCAAAAACAUACUGAAAAAUUGUUUGGAGUUUUGGAAUGGCAUCAUAUUUCAUGGCCAUUCUGUAGUACUUGUCAUGGAGUUGUUUGUGAUCACUGCUUGUUUAGCCUGUCACACUGUUGCCGUCGUGAGUAUUGUUUUGUUUGGUUUUCCAGU
rnacentral:lncRNA from 1 species